UUUUUUCUUUUUUUUUUUUUUUAUUUAAUAGCCUUUUAUUUACAAUUUAUUUUGGUAACUUUCAACAUUGAAAUUCAAAGGCUUAUUCCACCCCUAUAUAUUUUAUACUAUCCCCGGCCAUGAUUUCACUUAACCUUUAUUGUCCCAAAGGCCAUGAUUUCAGUACUCUGAUCCCACAGGCCAUGAUUUCACUACUAUGGCCCCAAAGAUUAUGUUUUUUUUUUUUUUUAAUUUAAUAGCCUUUUAUUUACAAGUUAUAUGUAUGGGUAACUUUACAACAUUGACAAUUCAAAGGCUAUGAUUUCACUACUAUGAUCCCACAGGCCAUGAUUUCACUACUAUGGCCCCAAAGGCCAUGGUUUCACUACUAUGGUCCCAAAGGCUACGAUUUCACUACUAUGACCCCACAGGCCAUGAUUUCACUAUUAUGACCCCAAAAGCCAUGAUUUCACUAGUAUGGCGCCGAAGGAGGUUGCAUGGUCUCUAGUAUUGAAAGCCCUAUAAAAGAUAUGAACUCAAGGACUGAGAACACAGGCAUCUUACUAAGCUUUCUCCCUUUACAGACUGGGAAAGUAAGGCUUCAAAACCCAAGAUCAAAAGCCUAAGAUAAGGUAGAUAGCAAGGUCUUGGACUGAGAGGCAGAUGGGUUUCUAGUCACCAUCUUGUCCACCUCCUAAUUUUAUAGAAAAGGAAGCUGAUGGGGCUUAGAGUGACUCACCAGGUCA
rnacentral:lncRNA from 1 species